GACGAACGCUGGCGGCGUGCUUAACACAUGCAAGUCGAACGAAGUGGCGAACGGGUGAGUAACGUGUAAUCAACCUGCCCUUCAGGGGGGGACAAUAGUUGGAAACGACUGCUAAUACCGCAUACUGAAGGUGGGGUUUGCGUCUGAUUAGCAAGUUGGAGGGGUAACGGCCCAACAAGGCGAUGAUCAGGAGCCGGUCUGGAAGGAUGAACGGCCCCAUGGGGACUGAGACACGGCCCAGACUCCUACGGGAGGCAGCAGUGGGGAAUCUUCCGCAAUGGACGAAAGUCUGACGGAGCAACGCCGCGUGAGUGAUGACGGCCUUCAGGUUGUAAAGCUCUGUUAAUCGGGACGCGGUACCGGAAUAGAAAGCCACGGCUAACUACGUGCCAGCAGCCGCGGUAAUUC
rnacentral:rRNA from 1 species